AAAAAAAACAAACCCUGGUUUCCGUGUACAAUGUUUGAUCGUCCGUCUUAUUUGAAAAAAAUAUGAAAAAAAUUAAAAAGACAAGUCACACAUAAAAUAUUAAUCAUGUUUUAUCAUCUAACAACAAUGAAAAUACGAAUUAUAAAAAAAUUUCAUAUAAAACGGACAGUCAAAGUUGGACACGGAAACCCAUGGUUUGCCUUUUU
rfam:Oryza sativa Japonica Group DNA, chromosome 1, cultivar: Nipponbare, complete sequence.